rnacentral:tRNA from 1 species
AGCCGCCUCGGCCAAGGCGAGGGUCUCGUCGUAGUCUGCGCACCAGCGGGCAACGGGGCGGCCUAUCACCGCAGGUCAACCGGGAACCUCUGGGCACCCGCAGGCACCACGGAAACCGUCUGCCCCUGAGAAGGUCAGGGGUUCGAAUCCCCUCAGCUCCACCA